rnacentral:rRNA from 1 species
UGGGGAAUAUUGCACAAUGGAGGGAACUCUGAUGCAGCGACGCCGCGUGAGUGAUGAAGGAAUUCGUUUCGUAAAACUCUGUUCUAUGGGAAGAAAAGGACUGUACCAUAGGAGAAAGCUCCGGCUAAAUACGUGCCAGCAGCCGCGGUAAUACGUAUGGAGCGAGCGUUGUCCGGAAUUAUUGGGCGUAAAGGGUGCGCAGGCGGCUUUACAAGUUGGAUGUGAAAUAUUGUGGCUCAACCACAAACGUGCAUCCAAAACUGCAAAGCUUGAGGUAAGGAGAGGGAAGUGGAAUUCCUGGUGUAGCGGUGGAAUGCGUAGAUAACAGGAGGAAUACCGGUGGCGAAGGCGACUUACUGGACUUAAACUGACGCUUAGGGACGAAAGCGUGGGGAGCAAACAGG